GGAGGAGCUGCCCUGUUUUGGCAGGAGCAGAUGAAACUGGAUUUAUGGAUAAAAACGGCCAAAUGACAUCUGAAAAUUUUGUUUCCCUUUGAAAUUCUUGAUGCAUUUCAGCAUCUCCAGGAGGGCAUCUCCUCUCUUGUGUUGCCAGAAGAGCCAACUGAGCCUAAUCCCAUUUUCCCUAGGACCUGGCAGCCAUUCAGGACUGCUUCUAUUGUAUUUACGUGGAAUUUGGUCACCUGUGGCUUCAGGCAGCCCAAAUCUCUCAGGAUGUGCAGGACAGGAGUGACCCUUACCACGCUGCCAUUGUUCCUGCCUGCCUCAUCUGUCCCUAUGGAUCUGGAGCUGACUGUGGCAUGUUUAGAAGUGGAACUCAAAAGCCAAGGGUGGCUGUGGUGGUUCUGGCAGUGGCCCAGAUCACCUUUAUGGACUGAGAGGUGAAAUCACCAAAGCUGUGCUUGGAUGGUGCAUCCCUGUCUCCUCUCCAUGGUUUGGUCAUGGCUUUUAGCAGCUCUGGACUGAAUUUGGC
rnacentral:lncRNA from 1 species